CUGGGAGAGUUUGUCCUGCAGCAGAGACGGGAUGAUGGUGUUGAAGGCAGAGCUGAAGUCCACAAACAGGAUCCUGGUGUAGGUCCCUGGGGAGUCCAGAUGCUGGAGGAUGUAGUGGAGGGCCAUGUUGGCAGCACCAUCUACAGACGGAGCCGACCUACCCAACACUAACGGAAUCGGUCGACAGACUUUGCUGACGAACACAAACGGAGAGGUUCUGGUAAUGUCAGCAAGUGGAGCGGAGUCCGGUCUUCACACCGAGCUCACAGCGUCAGGUCUUGGACUUCAGCCAAAUGUCACAGUGUCGCCCCUCGCUGUCCUCCACACAGACACACUGCCCUCAGUUUCGCAUGGGUACUCCCACACAGAGCUGGUUAGCAUGGCAACAGACUCCACAGGGACAUACACAGUUUCAGCAGAUCCAACAGGAACUCCAUUUGACUUCAGUCAUCCAGCUGUGACGGAUCACACACAGAUGGCUGGUCAAGUCACUGAACAGUACUACCCAUCUGGUCAGGGUCCUGAAGGUACAAAAAAUGUGGAAUUGGAGGAUACCUGCUGACUUCCACAUAAAGCCGCAAGUUCGAUUCCUGCGCUACAGCUUCCAGUGUACCGACAAAUCAGCAAUGCCGAGGAAAUCAACCCCCUUCCACUAGCCGUAGGCCACGCCCACUGAGUGCCAGCAACUCAUUGGUGUUUUUUUUUUAAUAUUUAAAAUGUGGAAUUCUGUUUAUAGAAUUGUA
ensembl:lncRNA